UACUGCUCAGGGCAAACCUGCCGAAAGGCGGGGACGCAAAGCCACCGGUCUAAGGUUCGCGAUGUCGGGCUACGAUAGCGGGGUUGCCAGG
rnacentral:ncRNA from 1 species